GAUACCCUCUUCCUGUCCGACUUGACGUCACCAAGGAUGAAGACGUCGAGGCGGCUGUUGCCAUGGUGAUGGAGCAACAAGGGCGCAUCGAUAUCCUAGUGAACAACGCCGGAAUCUGUACAAAGAAAGCUUUGGAGACGAUCAGCAUGAGCGACAUUCUUCGGCUCUAUGACAUCAACCUGUUCGGCUAUCUUCGGAUGAUGAGAGCGGUCCUGCCGAUCAUGAAGAAACAGGAAUCGGGAAGGAUUAUCAAUAUGUCAAGUAGAAAUGCAAUUGAAGGAGCUCCGUAUAUGAAUAUCUACACUUCAUCCAAAUUCGCCAUUGAAGGUUUAAGCGAGGAGACGGCAGUAAUUGGACGAUUCUUCAAUAUAUGGGUCAGUUUAAUUCAGCCGGGCGGCGUCAUCUCGCCCAUCGG